UCGUAACAAGGUUUCCGUAGGUGAACCUGCGGAAGGAUCAUUAACGAAGCUGUCGAAAGACACUUUAUUAUCCAACACCUGUGAAAUACAAUUGACUAUUGCUUUGGCUGGAUGUAAUAAUCUGGCCAAAGGAUUAAAACUCAAACCUUUGAAAUUUGUUUUGUCUGAUAUAUUUUAAAUUAAAAAUUUAAAACUUUCAACAACGGAUCUCUUGGUUCUCGCAUCGAUGAAGAACGCAGCGAAUUGCGAUAAGUAAUGUGAAUUGCAGAAUUGUGAAUCAUCGAAUUUUUGAACGCACAUUGCACCCUCUGGUAUUCCGGAGGGUAUACCUGUUUGAGCGUCAGUUCUCUCUCAAACCUUGUGUUUGGUAUUGAUCUGCUACAAACUUCAAAUUGUGUACAGGUUGAAAUGUAUUGGCAUAGACUGAUUCUGAGCUAUACAACGUAUUAGGUUUUACCAACUCGUUGGCUAUUAGAGCAGGAUUUUAAUUGUCUGGCGAUAAAACAAUUCAUUCUACAAUUUGACCUCAAAUCAGGUGAGACUACCCGCUGAACUUAAGCAUAUCAAUA
rnacentral:rRNA from 1 species